ACUGUCACAUUUCAACACUUUCUCUCUCAUAUAUCCUGGAUCUAGAUAUUAGUCAACAUUUUAUUUUUCACAUCUUCAAGAUCUAGAUCUGAAGAAAAAUCAAAGAGAUUCUCUCAUGAGACUCAAAGAUAAUAAUAAGAUUUUUAUUUGUUGGCCUCAAGAUUUUAAUCGCCUUAUUCGGAACAAAUGAUGAGAGACCAUUUUAUCAUCUCCACUAAAAGGUGGUGAUUCUGGUGGAGUUUCAAAAUGUAGACCCACAUCAAACAUAUCUUGAUUUCAGUACACCACUCAAAGAAGGUUUUUGAUUCAUGUCUUUUCCUAUUAUAACGUGUCUUCUGUGUUGGGUUCUAAUUUUAUUGUUUCCAUCAAUACGUAUGUCAAUGGUGCAAUACAGACGAUGAUGACUUGCCGUUAUCUCCACGUACGGAUUAUAAGGAAGGAUAAGUACCAACAAGAUAUAAAGCAGGAACUCAAGUUUUGACCAUGUUACACAUGUUACAAACAAGUUGUAACAUGUUACAAACAAGUUGCAACAUGUGUAACACAAUAUUAAUGUGUUAUACAUAUAUGUAACACAUGUAACAUUCGUAGCAACAUGUUAAUUUGACAAAUAUAUAUUUUAUUUUUUUUUAC
rnacentral:lncRNA from 1 species